rnacentral:rRNA from 1 species
UCGGGUGACGAGCGGCGGACGGGUGAGUAAUGUCUGGGAAACUGCCUGAUGGAGGGGGAUAACUACUGGAAACGGUAGCUAAUACCGCAUAACGUCGCAAGACCAAAGUGGGGGACCUUCGGGCCUCAUGCCAUCAGAUGUGCCCAGAUGGGAUUAGCUUGUAGGUGGGGUAACGGCUCACCUAGGCGACGAUCCCUAGCUGGUCUGAGAGGAUGACCAGCCACACUGGAACUGAGACACGGUCCAGACUCCUACGGGAGGCAGCAGUGGGGAAUAUUGCACAAUGGGCGCAAGCCUGAUGCAGCCAUGCCGCGUGUGUGAAGAAGGCCUUCGGGUUGUAAAGCACUUUCAGCGGGGAGGAAGGCGGUGAGGUUAAUAACCUCAUCGAUUGACGUUACCCGCAGAAGAAGCACCGGCUAACUCCGUGCCAGCAGCCGCGGUAAUACGGAGGGUGCAAGCGUUAAUCGGAAUUACUGGGCGUAAAGCGCACGCAGGCGGUCUGUCAAGUCGGAUGUGAAAUCCCCGGGCUCAACCUGGGAACUGCA